UACAGAGGUCCCAAGCGUUGUUCGGAUUCAUUGGCGUAAAGGGCGCGCAGGCGGCUGCUCAAGUCAGGCGUGAAAGGCCUGGGCUCAACCCGGGAAUUGCGCUUGAGACUGGGCUGGCUUGAGCGCGGGAGAGGAUGGUGGAAUUCCCAGUGUAGAGGUGAAAUUCGUAGAUAUUGGGAAGAACACCGGUGGCGAAGGCGGGAUCCUGGGCCAGUACUGACGCUGAGGAGCGAAAGCGUGGGGAGCAAACAGG
rnacentral:rRNA from 1 species